rnacentral:piRNA from 1 species
GACAAGGAAAAUCAAGGAGAUGAGA